rnacentral:lncRNA from 1 species
GUAAGGGCAAGCAACUCUCUCUGAUGUUCAUCAGCAGCAACAGCAGUAACUUGAUAAUAUUAAGACCCAAACAAUAGGUGAAAACUCACGAGCUUAAUGAAUAAGAAAAAGACAAACAUGGAUGGAUGAUUAUGAGAUUAGUGGUGUUCAAUCUGAUGAUACUCUUGUUCAUUUUUCUCUAUUAUCAUAUUGCAAUCCAAUAACAUUCCAAGAAGCUGUCAAAGAUACAAGACGGUGAAAAGUAAUGGAUG